CCGAGAGGCUGAACCAGCCAAGUCGCGUGAGGGAUGAAGGUUUAUGGAUCGUAAACCUCUUUUAUAAAGGAAUAAGUCGGGUAUGCAUACCCGUUUGCAUGUACUUUAUGAAUAAGGAUCGGCUAACUCCGUGCCAGCAGCCGCGGUAAUACGGAGGAUCCGAGCGUUAUCCGGAUUUAUUGGGUUUAAAGGGAGCGUAGAUGGAUGUUUAAGUCAGUUGUGAAAGUUUGCGGCUCAACCGUAAAAUUGCAGUUGAUACUGGAUAUCUUGAGUGCAGUUGA
rnacentral:rRNA from 1 species